GGUGUUUAAUAGAAAAAUAUGUCGUUAGAUGGACCAGAAGAUUUUUUGAAUCUGUCCAGUCUCCACCUGCUUUCUUCAUGCGACUGCCUGACAAACUGCAUUCAGUCCAACUAAAGGGGUGCUGUUCUCUCUUCCUGUUUUGGUAACAUUUCUUUCGAUUUUUCUACCAAUUUUCAACUGCGUUGUGGAGUAAGCAGAAUUUUAAGGUCUGACCUAAAAGUUAACCACCAUGUGUAAUUGCUUUGUGAGGAAAAGUGUUCUAGGUUCCAUAUGAGCCCUUGACUAGCAAACUUGGAACAGAGCCAUUUGAAAGCUGAAGUGGUUUCUGGGUAACAGUGAAGCAGUUGCCUGGUUCAUUGUCUCAUCACAGCAGUAGAGCUGUUGAGUACAGAGGAGGACCGGGUGAGGGAUGUCUGAGGCGGUGAAGCUAGAAGAAGCAAAUGGCAUAUCUGCUCUAGGAAACUUUGCUUUCUCCAGAUGUUGGUUUGGAACAGAAUAUCUACAUGGAAAUAGCAACCACUAAUUCUCUGGCCAGAGUGCAUCAAGGCCUUAAUCUAAAGCCUCCCAUCCAUCCAGCUGUCUGGCGUUUGCUAUUACAGGGCACCAACAGAGAAAUGAGGCUGUGGCUCUAUCACUG